rnacentral:lncRNA from 1 species
CAACCAUGUUUAAUAACCAACCAUGUUUGUACAAUCAGAUACAAAAUAGAGUAACAAAAUGAUAUAAAACAGUUCAAAUACUUUGCAUGUAACAUAAUCAAUCAGUAUCAAAAUAUCAAGCAGAUAUGAGACAGAAAAAUAUUCUCCCCCUUUCAUAAAGCUUUCAUAUAUUCUCUCUCCUUUUGUGCAUUAACAAAAAAGUAGUGCUUCUGGAUAUUAUAUGUUGAUAUGCCAAACAAAGAUGCAUCAGUAAAAGUGUGCAAAUAUAUUAAAUGCAAUGAUGCUCCCCCUAUCACAUUUAAUCACAUGUAUAAGAUUACUCCCCCUGAAAUGUAGGCAUGUAAGUAAAAAUGUGUAUGAGUGAAGUACUCCCCCUAUCAUUAUGCAUAGAUAUCAAAACCAGAUCAAAUGUAAUUUGCAGUAUAAACAGUCAGAAUAUACAAACAGCUUAUCACAAAGUUGUAUCAAGGAUAAGG